rnacentral:lncRNA from 1 species
AUGGUUUCUAAUGAGAAGUCUACCAUUAUUCAAACUAUUUUCCCCCUAGAGAUCCUGUGUCAUUUCACUCUUGCUGCUUUCUGCUUUCAAGAUUUUUCUCUUCUUUUUAUUUUCAGAAGUUUGACUACAGUGUGUCUUGGUGUCUUGGUGGUUUCUUUCAUUCGUUUGGGUUUAUCCUGUUUGGAAUCAUUUACCAAAUUUGAAAGAUGCUGUAUUUGCUUGAAUCCAGAGACACCAUGAAUCAGGACAUUUCCCCCUGUCAAUUUCAGGGGCACGUGGCUGCUCUGAUUCUUUGUGGUCUCCCUGUUAUUUGAGUCUGGAUUAUUUUCCUCCAGGUCUAGUAUAUAAGACUUCUGCUUGCUUAUCCUUACAGCAAGAGAUCCAUUGGCUUAUAGCUGAAUUCAGCAUUGAAAUGGAGUCUGUCAAAGACAGAUGUGGAAUUGUGCCCAGUUCUUUCAUGUUUAGACAAUAGGGAAAGGGAAAACAUAAAUCUACUGUAAAUUAUCAUUCUCGAUUCACAAUGCAAGCAGCCUGCAGAAGUGGAGCGGAAGCUGAAACCCUGCACAGUCCCAGCAAAGAUCUGAGUCUCCAUGUUAUUUAUUCUCUGAAUUUAGUGAACUGCCAUGCUGGGUUCCAGCUCUCAGGAUAAUCAAUUUCUGUUUGGCAAAUUCAGUGCCAGGUAUGAGCUGCAGCAGUACCUGGCAAGCCCAGUGUCCCUCUCCCACACAAUGCUGUCAUUCAGUUUAUUAUAGCUCACUCUUGCAAACACAAAUCCCUGAAUCAGCCACAGUGGUAGCUGGCAUCACAGCGUGCUAAUCCACAUAAUGUUUGCAAAGAGUCCCCAACAGACCCACCUUUGCUUCCUUCCCCUGUCACCUGUCUGACUAAUGUGUUGUUAGUUGGGUUUUGCCAAUAUCUUCUCGCUUACUUUCUUGGGAUUCUGCUCUUUUUUAUAAGAAAUAUUUUCAAGUUAGCUGUCUAUAUAUAUUCUGUUCUAUUUAGUUAGUUGUUUCAAUGGGAAUCUAGAAGGUGGCCAUUAAAAAGGUCUAUUUUCUGCUCAGUCCAUUGCCAUAAAUUUCUCCUAUUAACACUAGUGUUGAACAUCACCUUCAGCUUCCAACUGCUAAUGUAUUUCCUUUCCCUUUCUUUUCCUUUUAUUAAAACUUUCUGAGCAGACUAAAUUCCUCCAGAGACUUAAAAGCAAAGUAUGGUAACUUCAGAAACUAAGCAGCUUAUACUACUUAGCUAGAGCAAUUACUGCAAUAAUUAUGGAAGGUCUAACAAUCAUAUUCAUUCAUUUUUAUUCAUUUAUUCAUGUAGCAAACAUGUACAGAACACCAACUAUUUAAGUUCCAUGCUGAGCACAAGGAAUCAUAGUUUUAAAUGUCCUCCUCCAUUAAAAUGUCAUAUGAGGCAGACAAUAAUUAAACAGUUAUGAUUUAGUAGGUUAAGAGCAACAAAAGAUCUGACUGGAACACCUAAGGAUGGUAACCCUAAAUAUCAUUAUUAUCAUGCAGAUUGGAAUGGAUUUCCCAGAAAACUAAAUGAGUAGAUUAAAAAAAAUAAGUAGAUGUUUGAUAUGGUUUGGAUGUUGUGUCCACUCUGAAACUCAUGUUAAAAUGUGACCUCCAAUGUUGGAGGUUGGGACUAGCAGGAGGUGUUGGGUCACAGCGGUGAAUCCUUCAUGAAUGUCUUGUUCCUGUUCUCAUGAUAAGGAGCGUGUUCUCACUCUGAGUUCACGCAAGACCUGUCUCUUUAAAAGAAUGUGGCACCUCUCCCCUCUCUCUGUGUCUAGCUUCCUCUCUCUCCAUGUGAGAUACCAGCUCCCCUUGUGCCUUCUGCCAUGACUGGAAGCUUCUUGAGGCCUCACCAGGAACAGAUGCCAGUGCCAUGCUUCCUGGACAGCCUGCAAAACCAUAAGCCAAAAUAAACCUCUUUUCUUUGUAAAUUACCCAGUCUUAGAUAUUCCUGAUAGCAAUGCAAAACAGACUAAUACAAUAUUGUUCUAAGGGGCCUGUUGGGUGAGAAUGGGAAGAGAAAAUUUCAACUGUCACCAAAUCAGCUUCUGUGGCAUUGCCAUCUAGACACCUUUAUCGAUAUUCUCCUAUCAUGGAUCAGGUCUGACUCUACCCUGAUAAGUCAAUAGAAAGAUUAAAACAAACAAACGAAAAAAGGUAGCAUGCUUUCUUAGCCUCCACAGCAACUGGUAGAAAUAGGACAAGAAAUUUUGGAUAAAUCAGUCUCCAUUCAGCUAUCAUUUUUGUUUGUUUGUUUCUAGUGUCACUAUAGCUUGAACACUGGGGGAGGACCUUCAAAGUCAGAUGAGCAGCUGUGAGUUGACACAUUGCUUUAGAACCCAGGGAAAGAAGCUCUGCCAUAUUGUUAAGAUAAAUCCAUAGUUGUGCUUUGCUUUUACAAAUGUUCAAAAGUCUGACAUCAUGAGCACAGCCUAGGCAAGAGUGAACUCAGUGAAAGGACACACAAGUGCAUGCUACAACAGUCAAGAGGCUGUCAUGAAUGAAAUGGGACUUUAGUGGAGUUAUGAAAGGUAAAUUUUCAAAGGCAAAGGAAAGGAGGAGGGACAACGUCUUGGGGGUCAGGUAGAAACUUGACUUGUUCAGGAAAGACUGAGGAGAGGAACAAGAAUAGAAGGAAGGGUUCCAGCCAGUGAGCAGUAAGGCUGGUAACACAAGUUAGUGCCAAAUUAUGGAGGAUUUUAAUUGUCACAGAAGAGUUUAAAUUUUAUCUUUCUUGAAAAAGUUUGAGAUUUUUUGGGAAAGAUAAUUACAUGAUUCUAAAAAUAAAGCUUAGGAAAAAUUAAUCUGACAUGUGUGCCUCUGAUGGCUAAUUUAGUAAAAAUAAUAUCACAUGAGCAUUUGAUACAUUGAGGAAAAAAAUCCCCAUCCUGAAAUUUUCUCCUCCUUUGGUCCAGCAACACUGCACUUUCCUUCUUCACCUCCAACUAUUUUGUCUUUGUUCUUUUUUUACCCUCAGACUUUCUAUUGACUUCUCCUCUUCCUUUCAUUCCUUCAUUGUUCAUUAUCGGUUCACUUAAGACAAAUAUUGUCUACUGUGAGCAGACACAACACUUGGUAUUGGGAUUUGUAUUAGUCUGUUUUCACACUGCUAUAAAUAACUACCUGAGACUGGCUAAUUUAUGAAGAAAAGAGGCUUAAUUGACUCACAGUUCUGAUGGUUUAACAGGAAGCGUGACUGGAAGGCCUCAGGAAACUUACAAUCAUGGCAGAGGCAGAGGAGAAGCAAGGACUUUCUUCACAUGGUGGCAGGAGAGAGACAGCGAGGGGGGGAAAUGCCACACUUUUAAACCAUCAGCUCUCCUAAGAACUCACUCUCUAUCAUGAAAACAGCAUGGGGGAAGCCUGCCCCCAUGAUCCAAUCACCUACCGCCAGGCCCCUCCUCUGACACAUGGGGAUUACAAUCAUACAUGAGAUUUGGGUGGGGACACAGAAACAAACUAUAUCAGAAUUUGAGUAGUGAACAAAAUUCAUGUGGUCCCUGCUUGCUUGGAGUUCAAUUAAGCAUAUUGCAUUGUACAAUCUUUGGGUCUAGUCUUGCCUAAUUUAUACCCUCUUUCCCACAAUCCCACCCACUUCCAUGUCUUUAAUGACUUGUGAUUCAUAUCCCUCACAUGAUCUUUUCUACUAAGCUUCAGACUUAAUUUUUUUCAUUUGUCAACUAUGCUUUCCUCUUGGAUACCUUGCAGGUGCCCCACAUUGAACAUGUCCCAAACUAAAGUCAUGAUCUCAUCAUCACUCUCCACACGGGCUGCAGCUGCUCCAUCAGCACUUGCUGCUUCACUGUGCACUUUUAUGUGAUGAAGACGGCUUCUUUCCUUCAACCUCAGGAACCAACCUGUGCUAGUUUCCAACUUUUCUUCUGCAGCUUCUUCACCUCUCUCAGUCUUCAUGGAAUUGAAGGGAGGUAGUGCCUUGCUCUUGAUUAGGCAUUGGCUUAAGGAAAUAUUGUGGCUGGUUCGAUCUUCUAUCCAAACCACUAAAACUGUAUAUCAGCAAUAAGGCUAUUUUGCUUUGUUAUUUGUAGCUUUUGAUUUAAAGUACAAAACAUGCAAUUUAUCCUUCCACUGGAACACUUAGAGGCAAUUGUGGGGUUAAUAAUUGGCCAGAUUCCAAUAUUGUUGUCUAAGGGAAAGGGAGGCUGGAGGAAAGGGAGAAAGAGAUGGGGAAAUGGCCAGUUGGUCAAAACGUAACUUUUAUUAAGUUCACCAUCUUAUAUGGGCAUGGUUCACGGUCCCCCAAAAUAAUUACAAUAUUAGUGUCAAAGAUCACUGAAUACACCAUAACAGCUAUAAUAAUGAUGAAACAGUGGGAAACAGUGCGAGAAUUAACAGAAUGUGACAAAGUGAGCAUGCGUUGUUGGAACACUGGCACCAACAGACUUGGUUGAUGAAGAGUUGCCCUAAACCUUUUAUCUGUCAAAACCACAAUAUCUGCAAAGUGUAAUAAAGUCAAGCGCAUUAAAACAACGUAUGCCUGUGCACUCCUUUCCCCAGGUCACUUGUCUCUGAUAAAACUAGCAGGUUAGGCUCUGGUUAAAUAGUUUCACCUGAGGGCAGACCUUGUUAAGCACACAGAAUGCUCUGGUGCAUUUCAAAAUGACUUGCUUUCUCCUGCUGCUGCUGGAGACUGACGGGAUGUUUCUACAGUAUUCACAGUGAGGACCUGGUAGAGAUCCAGGACAUAAAACUCCCAAAAGUGUGGGGCCUUCUCAAUGACUGGGUCUCCCUAAAGUUUUCACCUCUGAGACUCCUCCAUUCGGAGCCUCCAGGAACUGGUUAAUUACAGCUCUGCUGUCCCCUCCCAGCGCUGCUUCCUGGGCCGUUUGGGCUCUG